rnacentral:sRNA from 1 species
GAUAUGUUCUCUCAAAAAUUAAUCAUAUUUUUUCUUAUGUGUUUAGGAAUAAAAUUGUGAAAUGAAAUUUACUUUUCUGAUUUUAUAAUUGGCCUAUUAUACGAGAAGCAACACAAAGUGGCAGCAAAGUCAUCAUUUAGUAUUGGAGGUCGGGUUUUGAUCCCUUUCAAAAAUCGCCUCCUUUCUAGAAAUGUUCAAGCCUUGCUACGUACUAAAAAUAUUCAAAACUGACUUAGAAGGUAAAAAAGAAUAGACUAUUUUUUAUACUUAUUUUUUUUUAUUUAUUGAUUUAUAUCUUUAAAUUGUACGUGACAUUGUUCAAGCCUUACUAUGUUCUAGAAACUGACCACGUGGUUUUGCAGAGUUAGAAGGUAAAAAAGAAUAGUCUAUUUUUUAUACUUAAU